rnacentral:rRNA from 1 species
GACGAACGCUGGCGGCGUGCCUAAUACAUGCAAGUUGAGCGCUGAAGGUUGGUACUUGUCCCAACUGGCUGAGCAGCGAACGGGUGAGUAACGCGUGGGGAAUCUGCCUUUGAGCGGGGGACAAUAUUUGGAAACGAAUGCUAAUACCGCAUAAAAACUUUAAACACAAGUUUGAAGUUUGAAAGAUGCAAUUGCAUCACUCAAAGAUGAUCCCGCGUUGUAUUAGCUAGUUGGUGAGGUAAAGGCUCACCAAGGCGAUGAUACAUAGCCGACCUGAGAGGGUGAUCGGCCACCGUGAGACUGAGACACGGCACAAACUCCUACGGGAGGCAGCAGUAGGGAAUCUUCGGCAAUGGACGAAAGUCAGACCGAGCAACGCCGCGUGCGUGAAGAAGGUUUUCGGAUCGUAAAACUCUGUUGGUAGAGAAGAACGUUGGUGCGAGUGGAAAGCUCAUCAAGUGACGGUAACUACCCAGAAAGGGACGGCUAACUACGUG